rnacentral:rRNA from 1 species
GACGAACGCUGGCGGCGUGCCUAAUACAUGCAAGUAGAACGCACAGUUUAUACCGUAGCUUGCUACACCAUAGACUGUGAGUUGCGAACGGGUGAGUAACGCGUAGGUAACCUGCCUGGUAGCGGGGGAUAACUAUUGGAAACGAUAGCUAAUACCGCAUAAUAUUAAUUAUUGCAUGAUAAUUGAUUGAAAGGUGCAAAUGCAUCACUACCAGAUGGACCUGCGUUGUAUUAGCUAGUAGGUGAGGUAACGGCUCACCUAGGCGACGAUACAUAGCCGACCUGAGAGGGUGAUCGGCCACACUGGGACUGAGACACGGCCCAGACUCCUACGGGAGGCAGCAGUAGGGAAUUUUCGGCAAUGGACGAAAGUCUGACCGAGCAACGCCGCGUGAGUGAAGAAGGUUUUCGGAUCGUAAAGCUCUGUUGUAAGAGAAGAACGGGUGU